rnacentral:rRNA from 1 species
CACGUAGGGGGCAAGCGUUGACCGGAUUUAUUGGGCGUAAAGAGCUCGUAGGCGGCUCAGUAAGUCAGGUGUGAAACCUCCAGGCUCAACCUGGAGACGCCACCUGAUACUGCUGUGGCUAGAGUCCGGUAGGGGAGCGUGGAAUUCCUGGUGUAGCGGUGAAAUGCGCAGAUAUCAGGAGGAACACCAGCGGCGAAGGCGGCGCUCUGGGCCGGAACUGACGCUGAGGAGCGAAAGCGUGGGUAGCAAACAGG